rnacentral:rRNA from 1 species
CAGAGUACCACGAGACACGUGAAACCUUGUGGGAAGCAGGGAGGACCACCUCCCAAGGCUAAAUACUACCUGAUGACCGAUAGUGAAGCAGUACCGUGAGGGAAAGGUGAAAAGAACCCCGGGAGGGGAGUGAAAUAGAACCUGAAACCGUGUGCCUACAACCGCUCAGAGCCCCUUAUGAGGGUGAUGAGGUGCUUUUUGUAGAACGAGCCAACGAGUUACGGUAUGUAGCAAGGUUAAGUACUUAAGGUACGGAGCCGAAGGGAAACCGAGUCUGAAUAGGGCGACUAGUUGCAUGCCGUAGACCCGAAACCGGGUGACCUAUCCAUGGCCAGGUUGAAGCGAGGGUAAAACCUCGUGGAGGACCGAACCACGUUGCUGUUGAAAAAGCAUGGGAUGAGCUGUGGAUAGCGGAGAAAUUCCAAUCGAACCCGGAGAUAGCUGGUUCUCUCCGAAAUAGCUUUAGGGCUAGCGUCGAGUAUGAGUAGUGGAGGUAGAGCACUGAAUGGGCUAGGGGGCAUAGCGCUUACCGAACCUUAUCAAACUCCGAAUGCCACAUACUUUGAGCUCGGCAGUCAGACUACGAAUGAUAAGAUCCGUGGUCAAAAGGGAAACAGCCCAGAUCGUCAGCUAAGGUCCCAAAGUGUAAGUUAAGUGGGAAAGGAUGUGAGAUUUCUAAGACAACUAGGAUGUUGGCUUAGAAGCAGCCAUUCAUUAAAAGAGUGCGUAAUAGCUCACUAGUCGAGAGAUCUUGCGCCGAAAAUGUAACGGGGCUAAACUUACCACCGAAGCUACGGGCUUGAACUUAGUUCAAGCGGUAGGAGAGCGUCGUAACCGGGCUGAAGUCGUACCGUAAGGAGCGGUGGACUGGUUACGAGUGAGAAUGUUGGCAUCAGUAGCGAGAUGUGGGUGAGAAUCCCACAGGCCGAAAACCUAAGGUUUCCUCAGGAAGGUUCGUCCGCUGAGGGUUAGUCGGGACCUAAGCCGAGGCCGAAAGGCGUAGGUGAUGGACAACUGGUUGAUAUUCCAGUACCACUACCAUCGUUAUUAUCGAUGGCGUGACGCAGGAGGAUAGUGUGUGCUAGCUAUUGGAUGCUAGUCUAAGCGUUUAGGCAGUGAGAGUAGGCAAAUCCGCUCUCAUAAUGCUGAGGCGUG